UACAGAGGUCCCAAGCGUUGUUCGGAUUCACUGGGCGUAAAGGGUGCGUAGGCGGUCGGGUAAGUCUGAUGUGAAAUCUCACAGCUUAACUGUGAAACUGCAUUGGAUACUAUCCGGCUAGAGGAAUGGAGGGGAGACUGGAAUACUUGGUGUAGCAGUGAAAUGCGUAGAUAUCGGGAGGAACACCAGUGGCGAAGGCGGCCUUCUGGACCAGUACUGACGCUCAUGCACGAAAGCGUGGGGAGCAAACAGG
rnacentral:rRNA from 1 species